UAACCUGCUAACUAGAUGCGGGUACGAGAGUAUCGGUAGACUUCUUAGAGGGACUGACUACGGUUAGUAGUUGGAAGUUUGAGGCAAUAACAGGUCUGUGAUGCCCUUUGAUGUUCUGGGCUGCACGCGCGCUACACUGACAAAGGCAGAGAGUAGGACCUUGGCCGAGAGGCUUGGGAAAUCUUGAGAAACUUUGUCGUGCUGGGGAUAGAUCAUUGCAAUUAUUGGUCUUGAACGAGGAAUUCCUAGUAAGCGCAAGUCAUCAGCUUGCGUUGAUUACGUCCCUGCCCUUUGUACACACCGCCCGUCGCU
rnacentral:rRNA from 1 species